rnacentral:lncRNA from 1 species
CCGCUCAUGUCCCUGUUGCCCUCUUGUUGCUUUUCAGUGACUGAUUCCCGGGGGCCCAGUAAGUGAGUUGGCGAGUCUCCACCUGCCAUUUUAACAUGUAUUUAAUACAUUGUCAUCGGCAGGUGCCAUAGUUCCCGUAGUUUCCCCAUUCCUAGUCCAUUAGCAUCCCAUCACAAUA